GGCGUGAGUGAUGUAAAUACUUCCUUAGGUUGGUCUGUUUGGCCGUCUUGGUCAAUGUUCAGGGCCUUCCAAUGUUAGGAUCCGUCAUAGUUACACUGACACGUU